GUGGGGAAUAUUGGGCAAUGGGCGCAAGCCUGACCCAGCAACGCCGCGUGAAGGAAGAAGGCUUUCGGGUUGUAAACUUCUUUUACCAGGGACGAAACAAAUGACGGUACCUGGUGAAUAAGCCACGGCUAACUACGUGCCAGCAGCCGCGGUAAUACGUAGGUGGCGAGCGUUAUCCGGAUUUAUUGGGUGUAAAGGGCGUGUAGGCGGGACAGCAAGUCAGAUGUGAAAACCAGAGGCUCAACCUCUGGCCUGCAUUUGAAACUGUUGUUCUUGAGUGUCGGAGAGGUAAUCGGAAUUCCGUGUGUAGCGGGGAAAUGCGUAGAUAUACGGAGGAACACCAGUGGCGAAGGCGGAUUACUGGACGAUAACUGACGCUGAGGCGCGAAAGCGUGGGGAGCAAACAGGAUUAGAUACCCGUGUAGUCC
rnacentral:rRNA from 1 species